GGCCGGGAGGAAAAACGGGGCAAGUGUGUGUGAGGGGUCCUGGCCAGUCUGCGUCCUGCUAGAUCUCGCCGAGGGCAGGCGGGCGGCGGAGUGAGACGGCGUGCGCCAAUGGGUAGGGAGGAGAACGGCCGAAGGGUCUGAUCCUGCAAGAGGCUGAAAUUAAUGAGACUAGAGGGGACCUGUGAGGAUUGGCUCUGGCAAGAUCUGAUCUUGCCAUUGGAUCUGCUCUGAAACAUGGAUCCCAAAGCGCUGAAUCUUGCAGGAUUCCUCCCCCUCCCACAUCUUGUUGAAGAUUGGGUACCUUAAUUAGGACUAAUUCCAAAGAGAUUGUGGGUUUAAUGACUGUGCAAUAAGCUUAAAGAAAAGUGGUGCUGGUAUCUCAUUUGCCAGACAGAUCGGGACCAAGAAUCUUGGACAAUCAGCACACACAGCACUGGGGAGGGGCUGGCAGGAUAGUGAGAUAUGGGCUCACUCAGGCUCUGCUCUCUGAAAGGGACAUGGAAGGACAGUCUCCUUCCCUCACUUAGGUAAAUAACCAUCUCAAAACAUUUUAAAAAUAAACAUUUGUAGGAAGUAGAUUGUGUGGGGCUGCUAAGGUUUCAGAGAGAUGUGUGUCUCUGUCGAGGCAAUGCACACCUUGGAAUAAGAUGAGGCCCAUGUAUGUAACUAAACAAAAUCACCACAAAACUAGAGUCAAAGAUAUUUAUUAGGGCAAUUCAAGUUCAUGCUCCUUUUGAAAUACAAAGCACCAGAGUUUAGAUAACUGAACAUCAUCCAAAUAUCAUCCAGUUGAAGCUGCUGAGCUGUGUACAGACAUGUAUUCAUUACCUAUCACAGUGCCAGAUCAUAUUCGCUAGAAGUAUUGUGAAGAAACAAAAAUACAUUGGCGCAGCGGCUGCUAAGAGGCAAACUAUCUUAUUUCUGAGGUCUUGGCAAGAUGCCUUUAUAACACUUACCUUUCCCAUUAGAGACCUCAGAAGAAUAGUAUAAUACAGUUCCUCUCACUACCAGUACAUUACACGUCUAGGAUAUUUUAUGGCAU